CCCUUAGACGUUCUGGGCCGCACGCGCGCUACACUGACCAGUGCAACAAGCAUCCGUCCUUGGCCGACAGGCCCGGGCAAUCUUUGAACGCUGGUCGUGAUGGGGAUAGACUUUUGCAAUUUUUGGUCUUCAACGAGGAAUUCCUAGUAAACGCAAGUCAUCAACAUGCAUUGAUUACGUCCCUGCCCUUUGUACACACCGCCCGUCGCACCUACCGAUUGAAUGGUCCGGUGAAGCCUCCGGAUUGGCGCGCACCUCGGUGCCGCCGAGAAGUUGGCUAAACCUUACCAUUUAGAGGAAGGUGAAGUCGUAACA
rnacentral:rRNA from 1 species